rnacentral:rRNA from 1 species
UACGUAGGGGGCAAGCGUUAUCCGGAAUUACUGGGUGUAAAGGGAGCGUAGACGGUAAUGUAAGUCUGGAGUGAAAGGCGGGGGCCCAACCCCCGGACUGCUCUGGAAACUAUGUUACUAGAGUGCAGGAGAGGUAAGCGGAAUUCCUAGUGUAACGGUGAAAUGCGUAGAUAUUAGGAGGAACACCAGUGGCGAAGGCGGCUUACUGGACUGUAACUGACGUUGAGGCUCGAAAGCGUGGGGAGCAAACAGG